rnacentral:rRNA from 1 species
UACAGAGGGUGCAAACGUUGCUCGGAAUCAUUGGGCGUAAAGCGCACGUAGGCGGCUUUGUAAGUUAGAGGUGAAAGCCUGGAGCUCAACUCCAGAAUUGCCUUUAAGACUGCAUCGCUUGAAUCCAGGAGAGGUGAGUGGAAUUCCGAGUGUAGAGGUGAAAUUCGUAGAUAUUCGGAAGAACACCAGUGGCGAAGGCGGCUCACUGGACUGGUAUUGACGCUGAGGUACGAAAGCGUGGGGAGCAAACAGG